UACGGAGGAUGCAAGCGUUAUCCGGAUUUAUUGGGUUUAAAGGGUGCGUAGGCCGUGAGGUAAGUCAGCGGUGAAAUGCCCCCGCUCAACGGGGUGAAGUGCCAUUGAUACUGCCUUGCUGGAAUGCGGAUGCCGUGGGAGGAAUGUGUGGUGUAGCGGUGAAAUGCAUAGAUAUCACACAGAACACCGAUUGCGAAGGCAUCUCACGAAUCCGCUAUUGACGCUGAUGCACGAAAGCGUGGGUAUCAAACAGG
rnacentral:rRNA from 1 species